rnacentral:rRNA from 1 species
UAGCUGGUCUGAGAGGAUGAUCAGCCAGACUGGAACUGAGACACGGUCCAGACUCCUACGGGAGGCAGCAGUGAGGAAUCUUCCACAAUGGGCGAAAGCCUGAUGGAGCAACGCCGCGUGCAGGAUGAAGGCCUUCGGGUUGUAAACUGCUUUUAUAAGUGAGGAAUAUGACGGUAACUUAUGAAUAAGGAUCGGCUAACUACGUGCCAGCAGCCGCGGUCAUACGUAGGAUCCGAGCGUUAUCCGGAGUGACUGGGCGUAAAGAGUUGCGUAGGCGGUUUGUUAAGCGAAUAGUGAAACCUGGUGGCUCAACCAUACAGACUAUUAUUCGAACUGGCAAACUCGAGAGUGGUAGAGGUCACUGGAAUUUCUUGUGUAGGAGUGAAAUCCGUAGAUAUAAGAAGGAACACCAAUGGCGUAGGCAGGUUACUGGGCCAUUUCUGACGCUAAGGCACGAAAGCGUGGGGAGCGAACCGGAUUAGAUACCCGGGUAGUCCACGCCGUAAACGAUGGAUACUAGCUGUUGGAGGUAUCGACCCCUUCAGUAGCGAAGCUAACGCGUUAAGUAUCCCGCCUGUGGAGUACGGCCGCAAGGCUAAAACAUAAAGGAAUUGACGGGGACCCGCACAAGCGGUGGAUCGUGUUCUUUAAUUCGAUGCUAAACGAAGAACCUUACCAGGGCUUGACAUCCAGGGAAUUUUUGGGAAACCAAUUAGUGCCUUUUGGAACCCUGUGACAGGUGAUGCAUGGCCGUCGUCAGCUCGUGUCGUGAGAUGUUUGGUUAAGUCCAUCAACGAGCGCAACCCUUGCAACUAGUUGGAUUUUUCUAGUUGGACUGCCCCGGUAACGGGGAGGAAGGAGGGGAUGAUGUCAGGUCAGUAUUGCCCUUACGUCCUGGGCUAGAAACACGAUACAAUGGCUAGUACAAUGCGCAGCGAAGCCGUGAGGUGGAGCAAAUCGCAUCAAAGCUAGUCUCAGUUCGGAUUGGAGGCUGAAACUCGCCUCCAUGAAGUCGGAAUCGCUAGUAAUCGCAGAUCAGCAAGCUGCGGUGAAUACGUUCCCGGGUCUUGUACACACCGCCCGUCAAACCAUGAAAGUGACCAACACCCGAAGUCCGAUUCGUCGGCCUAAGGUGGGGGGCAUGAUUGGGGUUAAGUCGUAACAAGGUAUCCGUACCGGAAGGUGCGGAUG